AGCAGGUGCUACUGGCGUUGAGGACGUGGCUGGCUGGCCCUGAAGGCCCUGACCGCUGAGGCUGUGGUUGCUGGGCUGGUCUCCUGCAGUCCCAGUUGCUCCCUCAGCAUGAGAUGGUGUCGGCUCAGCCCUCACAAGGGGCUCAGGUGUGUCCUGGCACUUCGUCCCUUUCCACCGUCUCCCUGGAUAGCAGGCAAGGCCUGGAAGGGUUCAGUACUACAUGUGCUUGACCUCUAGGAGUUAGUGUCCCUGCACCUUGGUCUGUUGAAGCUCCAUGGAUUUGCUCAGAGCAGCAGAGGUCUGCACACUGUUGGGCCACCUCCAGCCUCCAUCAAGCAUCUCCUGUACUGGGCCCCGACCAAGAUACAGUCCUCAGGGAUUCCAAAAGCCUGUGCUCCCUCUUCCUUCUUGCAGGUGUGGCUGUCCUCCAGGCUCUGCAGGCCUGUGGCGUGGAGGACACUUACCCGGCAUCCUCCAGCCUCCCUGGUCCUCAGCCCUUCCCAGAAACCCAGGGCCCCCAUGCUGUGCAAGGGUACCUGCAGAGCACCCUGCUGUGUGUGGCAGCCUUGUGGACCCUGGCCUCUGCCUCCCACCUCCCUCUACUUUGGCCAUGGCGUGGGCUCUUGCAGCCUCCCGUGGCCACAGGUUGUCACUGGUGUUUCCUUUCUGUAGCCAAACCAAGCUCCGGUACAGGAUGGCCCUCCCCAUUCUGCAGCUCCCUGCAAGAGGCAUUUGAUUGCCACAUCUUGGAGCUUGUACCCAAAUCUCUUCAAUGGAUCGGAAAGAACUACAACUGAACGACCAAGAUCCCCGUGGAGCAGAGAAGAGCAGAUGGAGCAGAGGACGUUGCACCGCUGCCAAAUCCCAGGCAGCACCGGGUCCUACUUCCUUAUGUCUCAGACUGUGAGCCAUGUGCGUGUUGGAGCCUUGUGCUGCACCAGACGAUGUAGAAACGGAGGCCACACAGACAGGCUCCCAGGCCAGUCUGGUUAUGUCUUUGGAGCAAAGGGACUGGAAUUGCUGGGCCUGAGGGCUUUGAGUUCAGUAUGCAUUUGCCACCUCCUCACCUGGAGCCCUGACCCAUCCUGGAGCCGUUUUCUGUGAAAGAACCGAGAGCCAGUGGCAGUGGGUGGGGCUGCCUGGGGAACACUGGCUGCUCCAGAAGCCUUGGUGGGACCAGAGGGCAGCUGUUGCUGUCAGGUGGCCUUUCAUCUAGAAUAGCAGCUCAAAACACUGGAAAUGUGGGGAUGGUCAGCUGUCAGGUGCCUUGGGGGCUGAGCUCGCCCCUGGGGUCAGUCCAGAGGCUGGCAGGGCCUGUCCACGCUGCACCCUUCUGACACGCAGCUGCUUUGAGGUGGGAAGAAGCCACACCUCCUCUCCCAUUUCCUGUGUUCUGCUGGACAGGAGGGACCUGGGGUAUGUGGCUGGCUCCGCCUCAAUUGUGGGGGCUUCAUCAGACUGGAAGCCCCCUGGACGAUUCAUGUUCCUACCCCAGCUGCCCCAGGAAAGGCAGGCUCCACACUCUGGCUACAGAGCACUGCGACACACGCCACCUGCUGUUGGUGGUACCCUGGUGUAGGUUCAUCACCCGCAAAGCCUGUGCCCUGCCUCUCACAGCCACGUGUGGCUUACACUGGUCCUGGUGCUCGGGGAUGCUUGAUCUUGAGCGUUCUCUCGUAUUCGUCUACUCCGACGGCCACUUGUGCCUGUCUCUGUGACUCCAGCUGUGGCGUGGACACAGCAGAUGUUUCCUUGGCCUGGCUGCCUUGUGAGCUGCUGAGGAAUGUGCAUGGCUGGGCAGUGGCCUGGGAAUGGAGGGCAGGGCUGGCGCAGAGGACGCCGGGGCAGCCUGUUGGGCCCAGGCUGGGUGGCGAUGGCCUGUUUCCCAUGUUCUGUGGGUGUGGGCACUACCUGGCUUUGGGGCUCUGGGCGCCUGCACAUGGAUGUGGUUCAUGCUGGGCACUGGAGCUUCUGUGCUGUGGGCAUUGGUUCAAGGACGUCUGCUGCAUGCAGCCUCCUCCAGAUGCAGACAUGCGCUGCAUCGUAGGGGCAGAGGUGUGCUUGGUACAGGUGCCUGGCAGUGCCAAGGGAGAUGCCACCUGUGGACCGCAGAAGCUUGUGGGGUCACCAGUAGGUGCCUGACCUGCAUCCCCCUGCUGAGCUGGGCUCUGGCAGAACCUGAGCCUGUGGGGCAGGUGAAGGGGAGGGUCUGCCAGACACUGGGAAGCGGACGUCCUAGUCACCUCCCCAGUGGGUGUGACCCCUGAAGAGCCAGUGAUCUUGGGCUUCUAUUUCCCAGUCUGCACAAAGGCUCAGAUUCUCGCUGCCAUUUCCGGCCCCCUGCUCGGAGUACACACCAGUGUCACCAUGAGAGGCUCCACUGAGCUGGCUGUUUGUUCCUAUCAGAGCUUGUGACCACAGAAGCCCUGGCCCAGCAGGCAGGAGAGAGAGCCCUGAUGAGGUCAGCUUUGUGGUUAGGCCAGCUCAUUGGAUGACAGGUGGACGGUUGAUCAGGUCAGAUCACUGAUUUGAACAGAAUUUAGUUUUUAUUUUAAAAGUUUAAGACCAAGAGCAAAUUACUCUUCUAACUUCAGGGGCUGGGGGUACAGCUCAGUAGGUAGAGUGCUUGCCUCCCAUGCACAGGUCCUCGGUCUAAUCCCCAGCAAGGCCAAAAAAAAAAAAAAAGGGCUUUUCUAUCUUCAAAGAAGGAAUUAUCUCAAUCUUAAAAUGCUUAUUUUGAGCCAGGCACACUGGGGCACACCUAUAAACCAGAAGCCUGAGACAGGGGGAAUCACAAAUUUGAGGUCAGCUUGGGCAACUUAGUGAGACCCUGAUUCACAAUAAAAAAAUAAAAAGAGCUGGAGAUGUAGUUCAGCAAUUGAGCAGGGGUAGGAAUCGACAGUGGGU
rnacentral:lncRNA from 1 species